rnacentral:rRNA from 1 species
ACUCCUGCGGGAGGCAGCAGUGGGGAAUUUUGGACACUGGGCGAAAGCCUGAUCCAGCAAUGCCGCGUGAGUGAAGAAGGCCUUCGGGUUGUAAAGCUCUUUUGUCAGGGAAGAAACGGUGAGAGCUAAUAUCUUUUGCUAAUGACGGUACCUGAAGAAUAAGCACCGGCUAACUACGUGCCAGCAGCCGCGGUAAUACGUAGGGUGCAAGCGUUAAUCGGAAUUACUGGGCGUAAAGCGUGCGCAGGCGGUUUUGUAAGUCUGAUGUGAAAUCCCCGGGCUCAACCUGGGAAUUGCAUUGGAGACUGCAAGGCUAGAAUCUGGCAGAGGGGGGUAGAAUUCCACGUGUAGCAGUGAAAUGCGUAGAUAUGUGGAGGAACACCGAUGGCGAAGGCAGCCCCCUGGGUCAAGAUUGACGCUCAUGCACGAAAGCGUGGGGAGCAAACAGGAUUAGAAACCCCUGUAGUCCCAU